rnacentral:rRNA from 1 species
GACGUAGGGCGCGAGCGUUGUCCGGAUUUAUUGGGCGUAAAGAGCUCGUAGGCGGCUUGUUGCGUCGGCUGUGAAAACCCGCAGCUCAACUGUGGGCUUGCAGCCGAUACGGGCAGGCUUGAGUUCGGUAGGGGAGACUCUAAUUCCUGGUGUAGCGGUGAAAUGCGCAGAUAUCAGGAGGAACACCAAUAGCGAAGGCAGCUCGCUGGGACGUUACUGACACUAAGGCGCGAAAGCGUGGGGAGCGAACAGG